UUAAUAUUAUAUAUAUAUUUUUGAAUUUAGUACAAAUUGAAUAUUUAAUAAAAAAACAAAAUAGAAAAAAAAAAAUAGAAAUAAUACGAAAGAUUCUUUCAACGGGUCUGCCAGAAAACCAGAAAAUAGGGUUAAACCUUACUUCUUUCGCUUUCGUUCAUUAAUUCACUCAUUGUUAAGAUAGAUAGGCAUAUCUCUCUCUCACACUAAACCAGUAAUUUAACAAAUGAGAAAUCUGGGAAGAGGGAUAGGCAUCAACAAGUUAUCCAAUUUGAUUUUAAGAAUUUGGUUGAGGGGACAAAUAGAAUCUUUUCAUCAGCGAUUCGAUGAAAUAUCUUGGAUCUAUGUUGAAUUGCUAAAUACAUGUAUCAAUCAAGCGAAUUUCGGUGGUGAGGUUCGGCCUUGAUAAAUUCAUUACAUUGAUAUUUAUAUUUAUCAAAUUCAAUAUUCAAUAUCAAUAAACUCUUUUUUUACCUAUAUUCACUAGUUUAGUCUAAACUCACUAGGUAAAUCAAACCUUUCGCUUAUAAAUGAACUACUAUGAAUCUACUUCCUAUACUUAGUAUGUAUAAUAUACUUAUUCUAAUUUAUAUUAGUUUCUAUUAUAAUUUAUGAAUUUAGAAUAGAAUUCUAAAUUAGAAUAAUAAUAUUCCAUGUUUAGAAUAAUCUAAUUUUUCUAAUAUCUAAUAAUAGUAUUAAAAAAUAAUGUUAUUAUUUUAUAUUUUAGAUUAAAAUAUUUAUUUAUUUUAUUUAUUUAAUAUUUAUUUAUUUAAAUAAUAUAAAUAAUAUUUAUUUAUUUAAAUAAAU
rnacentral:lncRNA from 1 species